AGGUCCAGGGUGAGGGUCCAUGACGUGUGAGGUCCAGGGUGAGGGUCCAUGACGUGUGAGGUCCAGGGUGAGGGUCCAUGACGUGUGAGGUCCAGGGUGAGGGUCCAUGACGUGUGAGGUCCAGGGUGAGGGUCCAUGACGUGUGAGGUCCAGGGUGAGUGUCCAUGACGUGUGAGGUCCAGGGUGAGGGUCCAUGACGUGUGAGGUCCAGGGUGAGGGUCCAUGACGUGUGAGGUCCAGGGUGAGUGUCCAUGAUGUGUGAGGUCCAGGGUGAGGGUCCAUGACGUGUGAGGUCCAGGAUGAGGGUCCUCACGCCGUGGGGAGGUGUAGUCUUCCCCAGUGAUAGUCCACCUUAGAGUCAGCCUUGUCUUCAUCAGCAAUGGUGUCAUAACACUUCUGUUUGUCCCUUAUUCUUAUCUCGUAGGUCAAGACGGUCCAGGGUCAAGUCAUGCGAGUAGAAUAUCAUUUUUGUUGAGGUUUCGCGGCAGUAGCUCUCCGGUAGCUUGUCUGGAUGUGGUAUCAAAUACUGGGAUCAUCUACACUGAGUGUACAAAACAUUAGGAACACCUGCUUUUUCCAUGACAUAGACUGACCAGCUGAAUCCAAGUGGAAGCUAUGAUAUCUUAUUGAUGUCACUUGUUAAAUUCACUUCAAUCAGUGUAGGUGAAGGGGAGGAGACAGGUUAUGUGUAUGUGUGCCAUUCAGAGGGGGAAUAGGCAAGACAAAAUAUUUAAGCACGCUUUCGAACUUGGGAUGCGGUAGUAGGUGCCACACUCUCAACAGUUUCCUGUGUGUAUCAAGAAUGGUCAGUCAUCCAAUGGACCUCCAGCCAACUUGAAACAACUGUGGGAAACAAUGUUGUCAACAUGGGCCAGCAUCCCUGUGGAACGCUUUCAACACUUUGUUAGCACUCUGACUUAAACCCUAAUGCAAUAUACCUACUAUAAAUUAUAUUUGUAGCCCUGAAGAAAUUAUUUUAUUGAGGCGUGAAUGAGAUCCUCUAAAGCCACAACGGACAAGAUUAAAAUAACCAUUAUUUCCAUGUGAGCUUAAUUCAUCCAAUAUGCCUGUUAGACCAGUGGAGAUACUCACUUGCGUCAUAUAUUAGCUGAAUAUUCUGACACGAACCCGCAGGGGAUCCCGAUCCCAUUAACCUUGUUUAAACUUGGAUGACUCUCUCUUCUCAUAACCUCAUUUCUGUCCCGGCACAUACAAAUGAAAGAGAUGGCACAUUCCAUCACAUACUUCACUAAUUGUGUUCAGUUUUGAACAUGCAGGCUGGAGCAGUAUGUAUUGUUGCUGUAAGCUUUAAUGGGGUGUGAAUGAUAGGGGUGGAGAACGGUUGAGAGUGGAGCAGCAGGUAGGGGAGGUCUAGGUUGUUUGUGGAAGAGUGUGGGCGGGGGGGCAGGUACUGUUCAGACAUGCUCUGAUCUGGCCACAUCUUUUCUACUGUGAUCAAAUACCUGGAAAUGACCCUCAACAUUUAUAUUUGUACGAGUGAGUUUGGAUGUUUUGGAGAGUGUGUGGUGUUAGAGGUGUUGACAUUUGAACAGAGAGCUUUAUAUUUUGACGUUUCAGAGUGUGCGUGAGUGUGAACAUGUGUCAAUGAAUGUGUGAGUGUUGUUCAUGCCUGCUGAUUGGGAGGAUUGAUCUUGUGGGAAGAAGAAUUUCCCAGUCGUCAGUGUUUAUCCCUACGGCGACACUCGUCAGGGCUGCUGUCCUCAUCAUUAUCCCUGAGUAGCUGUGGAGGGCAAAGGUCACCUAUUUAAUAAUGGCUCGGGUUGUUUGAGCUUGGUGAAAGUGUUUGGGGAAAUAACAAUGUCAUUAUGGAUCCUUGAAAUUGGAAUGGACACUGAACAGUGAGUUAUGAUGUGUAGUUAAAUAUGUGAAUAACAUAAUGUGUGUGUGUGUGUGUGUGUGUGUGUGUGUGUGUGUGUGUGUGUGUGUGUGUGUGUGUGUGUGUGUGUGUGUGUGUGUGUGUGUGUGUGUGUGUGUGUGUGUGUGUGUGUGUGUGUGUG